rnacentral:rRNA from 1 species
GACGAACGCUGGCGGCGUGCUUAACACAUGCAAGUCGAACGGAAAGGCGCUGCUCUUGUGGGGUGCUCGAGUGGCGAACGGGUGAGUAACACGUGAGUAACCUGCCCUUGACUUUGGGAUAACUUCAGGAAACUGGGGCUAAUACCGGAUAGGAGCUCCUGCUGCAUGGUGGGGGUUGGAAAGUUUCGGCGGUUGGGGAUGGACUCGCGGCUUAUCAGCUUGUUGGGGGGGUAGUGGCUUACCAAGGCUUUGACGGGUAGCCGGCCUGAGAGGGUGACCGGCCACAUUGGGACUGAGAUACGGCCCAGACUCCUACGGGAGGCAGCAGUGGGGAAUAUUGCACAAUGGGCGGAAGCCUGAUACAGCAACGCCGCGUGCGGGAUGACGGCCUUCGGGUUGUAAACCGCUUUCGCCUGUGACGAAGCGUGAGUGACGGUAAUGGGUAAAGAAGCACCGGCUAACUACGUG